rnacentral:ncRNA from 2 species
UAUUUGACAACGGGGAGCUCCUGUUAGGGGCUGAGAAAGGGCUAGUGAGCACCUGACCCGCUAAACCUGCUCGGGGUAAUGCCCGCGAAGGGAAAAAGCCUGUUGGUAUUCC